rnacentral:rRNA from 1 species
AGUGAACGCUGGCGGUAGGCCUAACACAUGCAAGUCGAACGGCAGCACAGAGGAGCUUGCUCCUUGGGUGGCGAGUGGCGGACGGGUGAGGAAUACAUCGGAAUCUACUCUGUCGUGGGGGAUAACGUAGGGAAACUUACGCUAAUACCGCAUACGACCUACGGGUGAAAGCAGGGGACCUUCGGGCCUUGCGCGAUUGAAUGAGCCGAUGUCGGAUUAGCUAGUUGGCGGGGUAAAGGCCCACCAAGGCGACGAUCCGUAGCUGGUCUGGAAGGAUGAUCAGCCACACUGGAACUGAGACACGGUCCAGACUCCUACGGGAGGCAGCAGUGGGGAAUAUUGGACAAUGGGCGCAAGCCUGAUCCAGCCAUACCGCGUGGGUGAGGAAGGCCUUCGGGUUGUAAAGCCCUUUUGUUGGGAAAGAAAUCCAGCUGGCUAAUACCCGGUUGGGAUGACGGUACCCAAAGAAUAAGCACCGGCUAACUUCGUGCCAGCAGCCGCCGUAA